rnacentral:pre_miRNA from 1 species
UGCAGGGCAUUGCACAUAGGAGGUAUGCAGAAUUCAUUCAUUUAGCAAGUAUUCUUUGAGGGUCUUCUGUGUGCCAGGCAUUGUGCUA